UCUUGAGAGUACCAUGGAUAGCAGAGAUCCAGCCCGUAAAUCUUAAAGGAAACCAACCCUGGAUACUCAUUGGAAGGACGGAUGCAGUAGCUGAAACGCCAAUAUUUUGGUCACCUGAUGCAAACAGAAAACUCACUGGAAAAGAUCUUGAUGCUGGGAAAGAGUGAAGGCAGAAGGAGAAGAGGUAAUCAGAGGAUGAGAUGGUUGGAUGGCAUCACCAACGCAGUGGACGUGAACUUCGGCAAACUCUGAGAGAAGCGGUUCAGUUGCUAAGACCCUGCGCUCCUAGUGCAGGGAGCCUGGAUUCAAUCCCUGGUUGGGGAACUAGAUCCCAUGUGCAGCAAGUAAAAGACCCUGCAUGCUGCAAGGAAGAUGGAAGAGCUUGUGUGUUGCAACUAAGACCAGGCACAGCCAAAUAAGUUAACUAAUUAAAAAAUAUGGCCAAAUGAAUGUACAUAUUUCCCAUUUUAUCCUAAUAUGCCUCUCUUCAUUAUAUUAUUACAUCAUAUAAACUGUAAAAAUUUAGAUCCUCAAUACUUUUAAUCUUAGAGAAAUAAUUUUAGGACAUAAGUAUUUCUAAAUUUUAAAUUAAUAGUAUAGUGAUAUGUUUCUCCACUUUGUGUUAUUUUUUAGUUGAGGUGUAUGUCUCAGUGGUCAGUGAGUAAAUGAUUUGUGAAUAUAUGAGUCUUUGAACCAUGUUCAUUGUGUUUACCAUUUUGUAUGAAAAUGACAAACAC